rnacentral:tRNA from 1 species
GGAGAGAUGGCCGAGUGGUCUAAGGCGUUCGAUUUAAGCUUGCGAAUCUCGAAUAACGAAAGUUGCGUGGGUUCGAACCCCACUCUCUCCA